rnacentral:rRNA from 1 species
UACGUAGAAGACUAGUGUUAUUCAUCUUUAAUAGGUUUUAAAGGGGUACCUAGACGGUAUAAUUAGUCUUUAACAGGAAACGGUUAUACUAGAGUUAUAUAUGAGGAGGUGAGUAUUUGUGGAGUAGAGUUGAAAUUCUUUGAUACCAUGACGACUGGUAAAGGCGAAAGCAACCUUUUAUCUAAUAACUGACGUUUGAGGGACGAAGGCUCGGGUCGCGAACAGG